ACUGCACUGAACUCUUAGCUUUCAUCUAUUUUUAUGGUGCCUCUCCUGGUUGAAGGUGGGAGCGAGCUUUGGGGAAAUUCCUCAUCCUUGGUGCAGCUGGUAAGUGAUCGGUUUCCUAAAGGAAAAAGAAAAUCUUUCAGAAAUCAAGGUCCUUUGGAAAACGGAUUUCAGCAGAGACAACCCUCCCCUCUCCCCAGGAGUGAUGUGAACAAAUCAUCCAGUCCUACUGCCAACUGGGACACUCAUUUCCUCAGGAGCCAGGGGCAAACCAAUUAACCUCAGUAUCCCCAUCUGUAAAAUGGGGUUAAUAAUGCUUACCUGCUGCAGGAGUGCUGUGAGGUUUUAAUUGGGUAAUGGCUGUGGAGCCCUUUGAUGUAGUAAAUUUUAUUAACUUCCAAGGGAUUCCCUGAGGCCAGAAAAAAGCAGUUAAAGCCCAAGAAAGAAGAAAGGCAUUGAAAUGCAGAGCUCGGCUAAGCUUUCACCUCCAGCUCUAAUUUCAAGAAGUGCAGACAGGAGUUGGGCUGCUCCAGUGGGAGUGGAAAGCUAUGACCAGGACUGAGGCUGUCUGAAUGGCAUUUGGGAAGGGAGAGCCUGCAAACCAACCAUCUCUCUGAAGGAGCUGGGCUUUCAGAUCUAGGAGGCUAAAGGUAAACAAAUAACCUUGCUUGAUCGAACCAAAUGGAGAUCAUUCUUUGUCUCCACGAAGGUGCUUUUCUGAGAGCAAGUCUCCAGUAAGGGAGUUAUUUUGGUGUUAAUCCAAGGUCCUUGGAACUGAAUUUAGAAACCCCCAGCUUCUGGCUUCCUGCUUCCCAACAAUUAAAGAGAGAACUCAAGGUCUGGCCUCUAGCCAGGGUUCCUGAGCAGAGAAGGCAUGCGGAAGAGCAUCGGCCAGGGGUCAGAGAACUGGGGCCUCUGCGAGUCCCAUCUAUUCACUGAGAGCUGCUCUGUGCCUCAAUUUCCCGCUUUGUAAAAAUUAUUUUAAUCAGACAUCUUUACCUUAAGGGCCCAAAUAAUUAAGAUCUGGAAGUGAAGUGCACUAACAUUAUUAUAAAGCAUGCUUAGAGUGUUAGCUGUUAUAAUUCAGGACAAAUCCUUCUUUCUUUCAGUAACUCCUAAAAACCCCAGUUAUUGGAUGAUUAUUCUCCAAGCCAACUCAUUCCACUCAAGGAAUGCCUUCUUCCUCUCUGACUCUUUGAUUGCCCUCAACAUAUUCAGUGCCCGCUCAUCAGUCAACCCAAUGGAGCAUCGGUUAUGAGGACACAGCUCAGUAAGGUGACCCACUCGUCCCAGUCUGCCUGAGACUGUCUCAGGUUUAGCACUAAAACUUUUGUGUGCCAGGAACCCCCACCUCAAUCCUGGGUCAGCCUACUGGGUGCCAGGACUGGUGAGAGACUGUUGUUACUAGUUCCUGACAAGCAGAACCCAGCAUCAGGACACAAGAGGCCCCGUAGUGUGGCAGAGGAGCACUGAGCAGGGAGUCCUGUGACCCAGCUCCUGCUCCUGGCUCUACUACCAUCUGCUGAUCUCAAAUCAGCCCUGUGGCCCCAGCUUUCCCAGCUGUAAAAAGAGGUGGGGGUGAUGUGACCCCUUUUCACCUUUUUUGUCCUCCAGGGAAAAAAGACCACAAGAACUUUUCCAGAAACUUGCCCAGCCUCCAGGGGGAUGGUGGGUGGUUUUCAACAAAAGGGGCCAGUAGUGGGAACAUGCUGGGGACCCAAGUUUCUGCUUGUGGGGCUCAGCCCCUAGUGGCCCACUGAGUCUUUUUGUGCCCUUUCUCUGUGAGCAGCGAACAUAUGGCUGGGGAAUGGGGCUGUUCGGAACAGCAGAGCGAUGCACAUAGCUCUUUAGGCCACUAUCCUUCCUAAAAUGAGCACAUUCUACCCCUGAGACUCAAAACUUUUCUUUUCCAAGGCUGUGUUAGAUUCAAGUAUGGCACUAUGGAGCGUUCAGUCCAAAAAUUAAAACAAUUUAAAAGACCUGCACUGUGCCCCUCACCACAAUUUACUAAGCUAACCAUUUUUUAAAAAAGGAUUUUAUUUAUUUAUUCAUGAGAGACACACAGAGAGAGGCGAGACACAGGCAGAGGGAGAAGUAGGCUCCCCGCUGAAGCCUGAUGUGGGACUCGGUCCCAGGACCCCAGGAUCACGCCCUGAGCCAAAGGCAGACUCUCAGUCACUAAGCCACCCAGGCACCCUACACCAUUUUUAAAAACAUAUUUUAUUUAUUUAUUUGACAGAGAGAGAAAGAGCGCGGGCACAAGCAGGGGGAGCAGCAGGCAGAGGGAGAGGGAGAAGCAGGCUCCCGUAGAACAGGGAGCCCGAUGCAGGGCUCGAUCCCAGGACCCAGGGACCACGAUCCAAGCCGAAGGCAGACGCUCAACUGACUGAGCCAUCCAAGGCACCGCCCACCCCCCCCUUUUCUGGUGUGGUUUUCUGUAAUUGUGUUUUACUGUACAAUAUAAAGGUAAAGAAAUUUUUCUCUGCUGCUAAAAGAAUUAAAACCACAUUAAUUAUACAUAUGUUUUGUCUCUGCUGCACAGAUUCCCCAGCCGAGGCAUGGCAUUUCCCUUUUGUUUGAGCCAGGUGGGGGCAGGAGGGGGGCUAGAUAAUCAGGACUAGAUUGUUUUGGUGGGGCAAUGUACUUUUGGGGGGUUGAUUCUCUUACAGCUGCCCUUGUUGGGAGCUUAAGUUAACAAAAGCAGCCUUCUCAUGACAGAUCAGAACCUGGUCUUCAUAGCAUUAAAAAAAAAAAUCACAUUGAGAAGCAAUGGGAAAGAAUGAUUGAAUCAAAGCCGCCCUCCGCUGCUUCCCCCAUUCCGCCCCCAUUUGAAAACAGCCCUGUUUCAAUUUCAUCGCUGAGCUCAGCCUGCCUGCUCCAGACGUCCAGACCUCACACUCUAUAAAUCGUCUCUGCCCUUGCCCCAGAGUUGCUGACUAUAUGUAUUUGGGGCCCGGCAUUAAUUCCCUCAUCCUUGGCUGGUGACAUUAAGAUUUGUAACCGAUAGAAUGUGUUUUUAAUGUGUUUCCUGCAGGUUACUAUUAAAGAAAUCUAAUUCUUCUGAACU
rnacentral:lncRNA from 1 species